rnacentral:rRNA from 1 species
AUGCUGAAAAUUGCAGUCGUCAAGCACCCAAGCCUCCUAAGAUCAUCUGAGGACAACCUGCGCAACACGGUAGAGUUCCUGAUCAACAAGGUUGGUCUUGAGCCAGAGUACAUCGUGCGCAGGCCUGCGCUGAUCACUUACAGCCUGAAGGCGAGGCUUGAGCCUCGAUAUAUUGUCAUGAAGAUACUGCAGGGCAAGGGACUUCUGAGUUCUGACUAUUGCUCAUUGGUUGUUGAGAGUGAGAGGUACUUCAGGUCAAGAUUUAUUGAGUAUUACAAGGAGAGUGUUCCUGAGCUCCCUGAUGUGUAUGCCGCGGCUCGCGCAGGGAAAAUACCCCCUCACCUCCAACCUUGA